GGUUGGGUUUUAAAAAACUUUCAAGAUUUGCUUAUUUGGGUCAAUAAGC
rnacentral:ncRNA from 2 species